rnacentral:piRNA from 1 species
UAUUUGACUCUUCUGGCCCAUGUUGGACUC